CCGUGCUAGGUGGGGAGGUAGCGGUGCUCUGCACCUGCAAUCCGCUAGAGCAGGGCCGAAGGCUUACCAUGAGGCAUCCGUUUGUGGGGCUUGCCUGAUACAAGUGGUGUUGACAGUUGGGUCCAGCGCAACAGAGAUCUAUGAACCCCGUCAGGUCCGGAAGGAAGCAGCGGUAAGUAGACACCUUUGUGUGCCGCUGGGUGGCCUGAUUCGAGCUAACUGUAUCAGUAACACUUGGAAGCGAGAUGUCGAAGGUAAGGGCACGG
rnacentral:SRP_RNA from 1 species